GGGUGGGAUCAUACUAGCACUAAAGCACCGGAUCCCAUUAGAACUCAGAAGAUAAGUGUGCUUGGGCAAGAGUAAUACUAGGAUGGGUGACCCCUUAGGAAGUCUUCGUGCUGCUGUGC
rnacentral:rRNA from 15 species